CGCGGCCUAUCAGCUUGUUGGUGGGGUGAUGGCCUACCAAGGCGACGACGGGUAGCCGGCCUGAGAGGGUGUCCGGCCACACUGGGACUGAGAUACGGCCCAGACUCCUACGGGAGGCAGCAGUGGGGAAUAUUGCACAAUGGGCGCAAGCCUGAUGCAGCGACGCCGCGUGGGGGAUGACGGCCUUCGGGUUGUAAACCUCUUUCACCAUCGGCGAAGCCCGUAGCUUUUGUUGUGGGUGACGGUAGGUGGAGAAGAAGCACCGGCCAACUACGUGCCAGCAGCCGCGGUAAUACGUAGGGUGCGAGCGUUGUCCGGAAUUACUGGGCGUAAAGAGCUCGUAGGUGGUUUGUCGCGUUGUCCGUGAAAUUCCCUGGCUUAACUGGGGGCGUGCGGGCGAUACGGGCAGACUGGAGUACUGCAGGGGAGACUGGAAUUCCUGGUGUAGCGGUGGAAUGCGCAGAUAUCAGGAGGAACACCGGUGGCGAAGGCGGGUCUCUGGGCAGUAACUGACGCUGAGGAGCGAAAGCGUGGGGAGCGAACAGGAUUAGAUACCCUGGUAGUCCACGCCGUAAACGGUGGGUACUAGGUGUGGGUUUCCUUCCUUGGGAUCCGUGCCGUAGCUAACGCAUUAAGUACCCCGCCUGGGAGUACG
rnacentral:rRNA from 1 species